UCAUCUUGGGAGCAGAAUUUCACAUUUUCUAACUUAAAAUAAUGGCUCUUGGUAGCUAAGCAAGACGGGCCUGGUCAGUACUUGGAUGAGAGACUGUUGGGAAUACCAGG
rnacentral:rRNA from 1 species